UACAGAGGGUGCAAGCGUUGUUCGGAAUUACUGGGCGUAAAGAGUGUGUAGGCGGUGCUCUAAGUUCGGUGUGAAAUCUCCCGGCUUAACUGGGAGGGUGCGCCGGAAACUGGAGUGCUCGAGCGUGGGAGAGGAAAGCGGAAUUCCUGGUGUAGCGGUGAAAUGCGUAGAUAUCAGGAGGAACACCUGCGGUGUAGACGGCUUUCUGGACCAUUGCUGACGCUGAGACACGAAAGCGUGGGUAGCAAACAGG
rnacentral:rRNA from 1 species